rnacentral:tRNA from 1 species
GCCCAGUUAGCUCAGUCGGUAGAGCAUCAGGCUUUUAACCUGAGGGUCAAGGGUUCGAGUCCCUUAUGGGCG